GGAUCGAUAGCUCAGUGGUAUAUAGCUCAGUGGUAUGAGCGAGGGAUUGCAGAUCCCUAGGUCGCGUGUUCGAUCCACGCUCGGUCCU
rnacentral:tRNA from 1 species